rnacentral:rRNA from 1 species
UGAGUAACACGUGGGUGAUCUGCCCUGCACUUUGGGAUAAGCCUGGGAAACUGGGUCUAAUACCGAAUAGGACCGCGCUCUUCAUGGGGUGUGGUGGAAAGCUUUUGCGGUGUGGGAUGGGCCCGCGGCCUAUCAGCUUGUUGGUGGGGUAAUGGCCUACCAAGGCGACGACNGGUAGCCGGCCUGAGAGGGUGACCGGCCACACUGGGACUGAGAUACGGCCCAGACUCCUACGGGAGGCAGCAGUGGGGAAUAUUGCACAAUGGGCGCAAGCCUGAUGCAGCGACGCCGCGUGAGGGAUGACGGCCUUCGGGUUGUAAACCUCUUUCAAUAGGGACGAAGCGCAAGUGACGGUACCUAUAGAAGAAGGACCGGCCAACUACGUGCCAGCAGCCGCGGUAAUACGUAGGGUCCGAGCGUUGUCCGGAAUUACUGGGCGUAAAGAGCUCGUAGGUGGUUUGUCGCGUUGUUCGUGAAAACUCACAGCUUAACUGUGGGCGUGCGGGCGAUACGGGCAGACUAGAGUACUGCAGGGGAGACUGGAAUUCCUGGUGUAGCGGUGGAAUGCGCAGAUAUCAGGAGGAACACCGGUGGCGAANGCGGGUCUCUGGGCAGUAACUGACGCUGAGGAGCGAAAGCGUGGGGAGCGAACAGGAUUAGAUACCCUGGUAGUCCACGCCGUAAACGGUGGGUACUAAGGUGUGGGGUUUCCUUCCUUGGGAUCCGUGCCGUAGCUAAACGCAUUUAAGUACCCCCGCCUGGGGGAGUACGGCCGCAAAGGCUAAAAACUCAAAGGGAAUUUGANCGGGGGCCCGCACAA